CAGCAGCCGCGGGAAUACGUAGGUGGCAAGCGUUGUCCGGAAUUAUUGGGCGUAAAGCGCGCGCAGGCGGAUAGGUCAGUCUGUCUUAAAAGUUCGGGGCUUAACCCCGUGAUGGGAUGGAAACUGCCAAUCUAGAGUAUCGGAGAGGAAAGUGGAAUUCCUAGUGUAGCGGUGAAAUGCGUAGAUAUUAGGAAGAACACCAGUGGCGAAGGCGACUUUCUGGACGAAAACUGACGCUGAGGCGCGAAAGCCAGGGGAGCGAACGGGAUUAGAUACCCGCGUAGUCCCUGUCUCUAUACAC
rnacentral:rRNA from 1 species